rnacentral:lncRNA from 1 species
CAAACAAUUAGGAAAGAUUGUUUGGAAAAUUUGAAAGGCUCAGAAGCCGGAGAUAACACGGUGUUCCUGAUCAGCAACCUUUACCCGGCCAAGUGGGACUUCGCUCGUCUCACACAGUCCAUCCUUGAUGUCCUGCCGUACCGUCAAAGAGAGUGCCUCACGUUAUCGCUUGGUGUGUUGACGAGCCUGUCAACGGAUAUGUUGAAAAGAAAAGCUGAACUCCUACGAGGUAAAUACGAGAAGCGCACAGGUUGAUUCAGCAAGCUGGUGUCACGGCAGAUUGUUUAACAUGCCAUUCGCCAAUGCUUAACAAAUUAUUACAAGGUUGAUAAGUGAUCAACAGACUUGAUAAGACCUACUGUACCCAACGAUAGUGAAAUAAAAAUAACUGGAACGUUACCCUCAG